UCCCACCGCAGCCGCUCCCAACCCUGUGGGUCGGGUCGCUUUGCGCGAGUGCCGGAAGCGGAAGUUGCUAAGACGUGGGGGGAGUUCUUGGGAGAGAGUCGAGUUAUCUUAGCGUUCGGUGUGUUCGCUCUGCGGCAGCCUGAGCAUCAGGUAAAGCGCAGUUGUGAGACUUCGGCAGCCCUGCUCCCCGGCUCAAGCCGGAUCCCGACCCCGAACCCUAGCCUGAGGGGUGUGGUGCUCGGUGCUCCGACUCUUUCCUAGGGUCCUGGUGGAGGUACCAGGAGUCACUUGUCCUUCCCUUGGAGUGAGGCCCCCCAUCCGGCUUCCCGGUGUCCCCGUAGACCUCCGCCAUGGGCAACACGAGCAGCGAGCGCGCUGCGCUGGACCGGCAGGGCGGCCACAAGACGCCCCGAGGGGACAGCUCGGGGGGCUCCAAGGAUGGGGACAGGCCCAAGAUCCUGAUGGACAGCCCCGAGGACGCUGACCUCUUCCACUCCGAGGAAAUCAAGGCUCCGGAGAAGGAGGAGUUCCUGGCCUGGCAGCACGAUGUGGAAGUGAACGACAAAGCUCCUGCCCAGGCUCGGCCAACCGUGUUUCGAUGGACUGGGGGUGGAAAGGAAGUUUACUUAUCUGGGUCCUUCAACAACUGGAGUAAACUGCCCCUCACAAGAAGCCACAAUAACUUCGUAGCCAUCCUGGACCUGCCCGAAGGAGAGCAUCAGUACAAGUUCUUCGUGGAUGGUCAGUGGACACACGACCCUUCUGAGCCGAUAGUGACCAGCCAGCUUGGCACAGUAAACAACAUCAUUCAAGUGAAGAAAACUGACUUUGAAGUAUUUGAUGCUUUGAUGGUGGAUUCUCAAAAGUGCUCCGAUGUGUCUGAGCUGUCCAGUUCCCCCCCAGGACCCUACCACCAGGAGCCCUACGUCUGGAAGCCAGAGGAGCGGUUUAAAGCACCACCCAUCCUCCCGCCGCAUCUUCUCCAGGUCAUCCUGAACAAGGACACGGGGAUUUCCUGCGAUCCAGCUUUGCUCCCUGAGCCCAACCACGUCAUGCUGAACCACCUCUAUGCACUUUCCAUCAAGCAACACAAAAGGAAGUCCCCCGUGGUCCAGAAGACUGCUAACAGACCCAGGUGAAAGUCUUUAUACCCAAGAAGCUAAAAGUAAUGGAGAUUAUUUCAUGGAUAUGGAACAGGAGACCCUGUUUGAGCAAAGCCACACUGAGGUGUCCUAUGACCCAGUGCUACAGACUGCAGCUUGUGGCCGGUGAGUUGGCAAGUCCCAGAGGGUCUCGGUUCGGCGGGAGCUAUGGGAUGGAACUAGUGCAUCGGCAGAGCAACCCAAGGGGGCGGCCAGGUCGGGGGGCAGCGCAUGCAGUGAACCGCCGUGCAGAACUCCUGGGGCUCUCUUCCCAGCCCGGGGAGCCGGGGCGAGUGCGCCAUCACGACAGGAGGUGAGUGCGCCCGGCCCCUGCCUGGACCCGGGGCCCCAUCGGUGCCGGGCUCAGAGCAAGUCUGUUGCAUGCUUUCCUGGCCAAAGCUACAUGGAAAGCGGAGACAGGAGGCCGGUGGGUGACGCUGAGGGGCAGGGAGGGAAAAGCUCCUUGUGGUCCCUUGGCCCCAAGUCACUGCCUCUGAGCCGGGCCCGAGACCUCCGUACAUUCGCAGCUGGUGGGAGGGGAAGUCGUCAAGGCCAUAAAAGGCAAUGAGAACGGUAAACAUUUGGCUAAGAUGUCACCCUGGGUAAGACAGGGCCAUCUGUGAGGAUGGACUGAAGGAGAGAGUGGACCUAGGUGAGAGUGGACCUAGGUGAGCGUGGGAGGUUAGCCAAUGACAGGGGCUCUUCUACGAUACAUGUCGGUAGUAAAGACCUGAUUGUGUGACCUGCUACAAAUGACUACAACAGGAAAUACGGUGCUAUUCAAAUCUAUUAAGAAGUCUGUUGUCUUUAAAAAAAAAAAAAAAGAAAACAGAAAAACAAAAACCCAACCAACCCUAGGAUCUUAAAGUAGCUAUUAAUUAGGAUUCUAACCACAUCGUAGUUAGCCCCCGGUUGGUUUCCUGUGAUGAACUGGUACAGGCUAGAGCUAGGUACAAAAGUUUAUGAAUGCUUUGAAAGAGUAACAAAGUGCAAAGAGGGUGACUGCAGGAGGGUGCCGGCAGCUCCCAGGAGCCCCAGCCCCUCCUGGCUGCAGGCUGUCCGUGCUGAGGCGGGUCUCGGUCCAGCUGCGCUGUGGGCACUGGGGGUCCCUUUCAGCAGCGUUCCAUAGUGCGGUUGGUGUUUUCCUGCAGCUCAAGAUGAGGAGUUGGGUUUUCUGGCUGAGCUUUAUACUGAAGACUGGUCCCAGACCUAGGAGCAGGAGGGCAGAGGUCAGAAAUCGCUGUGCUCACUUUGCAAACAGGAAGCCCAGACUGGGGUGUGCAGGAGCACGUGGCCUCUCCUUCCUGCGCCGAGCCGAGCGCGACUGGCACAGCCACCCCUCCGAGCUCGCAAAACUCACCAGAGUCCCCAGCACUACCGGCAGGGGUGCCAACAGUGAGCUGCAGGCGGCAGCAGGAGAGUGCGAGCGACACUGGCCCCUGGAGCCGGCUGGCCUGCCGACGAGGCACCGUGCUCGAGCCUCCGCGUGCCCUUGGGGGCCCCUGGUCUUCAGCACAUCCCUCCAUCUCCUCAGUUGCUAACCUAAAAAUUACACAGGUAAUAAAUACAUGCACGUGAUUUAAAAACUUUGAAAGGUUCAGAGUUCUUCUAGAAGGCAACCACUGUUACCAGUUCGGUGUAGCCUUCCAGAGAAACUGUUGAGGUAUAUAUGUUUGAAAAAGUAAGGCAUCGAACCUUUUGAAUAGCAUGUUAUCACCUGUGUUUAAGAAGGGUGACUAUACAUCCGUAUUUGUUUGUAUGCAGAGAGGAUCUCUAGAAACUGUGCACACUGGCUGCCUCCGGAAAGGGAACGCCAUAGCCCUUGGCAGCUCUUACGGUUUGAGGUGCACACGUUAUCCAUUUGCACAGCAGGAAGCCCCUUCUUAAGACGUUCCCUUCCUAAACUUGUUAAGUCCCGCAGACUCCGAAGUACAGUAGUGGCGCCCCUUCCCUACAACAGUGGCCCCUCGGGGAUGAGGAGGGCGCCUCACUCACCUUGUUGACCUGGGACAGCGGGGUCCUCACGGCUCCCACGGGCAGCCGGCCCCUGCUGCCGUCCUCAAACAGCCUCCCGGGGGAGCGCUCCCUGCGCGUGCUGAGCAUGCGGCCGGGGGACUUCUCCCGCUCCAGGGGGCGGCCUGGAGACUUGUCCCUGCGCAGCUCGGUCCGCCCCUCGCGGUAGCGGUGCGGCGUGCCGGGCUCUCGCGGGUGGCUGGGGCCCUCGGGAGGCGCCGGGCUGGAGGCCACGCGCUUGGUGAUGUGCUCGUUGUACGUCGGCGGGCCUCGCUUGUUGGGGCUGCGGCAACGGGAGAGGAAGGUGGGGAGCUGAGCCAUCACAACUGGACGGGGCAGCUUCCUCCUCUGAGCCACCCAUGCCCCCGUCUCACCACGCAUUAUUAGAAAAAGACCCCACCGCGAAUUCUUCGAGCCGCUUAUCUCGACAGUGAGGCCAGGGAAAGAAGGCAGCUGUGAGAACAGAGGGGAAUCAGGCUUCCUGGUCUCGACACAGGCUUUCUGCUGAGCGCCCACAGCGUGUCGGGCCCUGUGCUAAGCUCUUCAGGUACCUUAACUCAUCAGAUCACCCUAACAGCAGCUCUGCAAGCUAGGAACAGCCGUGACCCUCGUCGUACAGACAAGAAGCUGGAGACACAGAGAGGCUGCGAUUCCAGUGCAGCUCAAAAUGUGGAAAUUCCAACAACCCACGCUCAGAAAGCCAGAACUUUCUUGUGUGUGCAGCAGUAAAAUUUGAGAUAAACCUUGAUUUCAAGAGGUCGAAAUCUGAGCUAUCUUCAUCUCUUGUCAUGUGGCUUUGUGAUACAGAAGACAAAAAAAGAAAUUUCAAGUAAGAGUAUUAUGUUAAGCCGAUUUGUAAUGGAAGAGAAAUUAUAAAGCAUGUCAGGGGCCCAUCGUAAAGCAAGCUCACUGCCCAGAGGAAGAAAAGUGACUCAAGGAAGGCCAUUCGAGAAGUCAGCUUAGGUUGACGGGAUAAAGGAAAACUCUCGUCAUUCUGGGCAGAGCGGGCCAUUUUCCAUCUCCAAAUCCCUUAAUAACCAAUGCUUUACCACAUCAAUUUUAUGUUUGUUUCUUGCAAAGAGUUAAAUUUCCUGCUCUGCAAAACAAACAGACCGGGGCAGUGCAGCCUGCAGUGAAUCACAUUCUCCCAAGCUGGCCUUCUACAUUCUGCACCUGCCCAAAGCAGACAGCAACAAAAAGUUGCGGUUUUAUAAGCCAAGAGACAACUAAAGGAAACUGCUGGUUUUCCAGACAUGCCUGGCAUCAGCAGGAAAACAACAGCAUUAUUUCUGCCCCUUGUUCACAGGAACUAGAACCAUUUUCCACGACAGAAUAAGUUAACUCCUUACAGAGACACCAUAUCAUCUCAAAAGGAAGGUGCCUGGCCAUCUAACUAGUGAGGCAGUGGAGAAAAGAAAAAAUCUAAUUACAGUACUUGGGCUGGUUCUUGGCAUGACUGACUUGGAAACUAAAUAUAAAAUCUAGACAUCGUCAGGAGAGGACUACAGCCCUUUGAGCAGUCACUCCUGAGGCAGGAUCAAGCCAAAAAGUGAGAAGCAGCUAGUUAUUCAGCACUUCUGGUUUUCCAGCAAGUUCCUGGGACUAAAAUCACACUGACCAAACAUUUCUGACCAACACUUACAUUUCAACAAAAGAAACAGACACUAUUCGUUAGGACAUAGUCUCAGAACAUUAAAUUGACAACUCUCUUUUCUAAGAUCUAAGCAGCAUUUCAUAACAUUAGAGGUGGUUCCUUUACCAAACUGAGUCCCUUGAGAAUGAAAACCAUCCUGUGGCCCCAGACAUUGUGUCUGGCACAUGGUAGGGGGUCCACAUAACUAUUUAUAGGGUAGACAUGUGGGGUUUGUAAACCAGUCCACAAAAUUAAAACCCUAGGUCAAUUAAAUAAUAUUCCCCUGGGUUAAAUAAGCUUAUCUCCUUUGUGGACCAGGAUCUUAAAAUUACACAUCUCAGACCUACACAUCGAACCGAAUCUGGCUCCGAGCCCUGGGUGUCAAGACAAAGCCAGUCCCACUUCCACACACUGCUGGUGGGAUAACUAAAGGGUACAGCCUCUAGGGAGGAAAACUCACCAACAUCUAUCAAAAUCACCAACGCCCAUCAAUUCCUUUUCUAGGAAUUCAUCCUCCAGAUAGAUUCCUAAGCAUGCAAAAUGAAUGUACAAAGUCAUUUACUACAGCAACAGACUGGAAACAACCCAAACAUCCACGGAUAAAGGAGCAGUUAAAUAAGGUAUAGUCAUGUGAACGAAUGCUAUGCAGGUGUUUAAAAAAAAAAAAAGAAUGAAGAAAUACUUUGGAUACUGACAGACAUGGAGCAAUCUCUAAGACACAGAAGAGUGUGCACAGUAUGCUAUCGCCUGUAUUGAGAAGAAGGGGAAGAGCACUUCCAGAAUGGCAGAGUAAGGACUCCCGAAAACCUGUUUCUCCAUAGAAACAACAACAACACUGGCAAAAUUGUCAAAAUCAACCUUUUUGGAACUCUGGAAAUUAACCAAAGUCUUGCAACAAUUCAAAGAGUGUUUAUGCAAGAAAACGUGCAAUAUUCACCACCCCCAUCUCCCCAGAUCUGCAGUAGUUUUGAAACCAACAGCCUUGUAACCAGCUGUGAAAACCAGCACCCUGGUAACCCCUGGAGGGAGUACAUUAGGACUGGAGCUUCCCAAAAGCCCCAGCCUCAGAAAACUGCCACUAUCUGACCUAUCUGGCUCCUCCCUGGAAAAAGACCAUCCUCAGGGCUUGUUUUUAAUUGACCUGAUUCAGGUCUUCCUCUAGAGAAAUGCCCUAUCUCUAGAUGUUCACCAAAAAAAAAAAAAAUCAAUGGCUACUGUUUAACAUGGCAAAUGCCUGAGGCAGUAAGACCAGUUGGGGAAAACAAGAGGCUAGCUACAACACUCAAAAGGAAGUCCUGCAUAUUCCUGGGGAUCUGUAAGGCCACACACACACAGGUAUGCUUGUCACAUACCCAGGAAAAACCUACGAAGGCCUCAGUCUGUCAGCCACAGCUGACUCUGAGUGCUGAAGGUAUGCCCCAAAACACAAACACAACACACACGGUCGCUCGGCAAAGGGUGGGUUCAGUGCAUUUAAGGAAAUCUCUUUCUAGUCAUUCAGCUGACCACUACCCUAAUCAAGCAGAAACUUCAAUGGCUGCACAUAACAAAAGACACAGACUACAGAAUUAGUACAAGAGUCACUAAACAAACAGUGACAACAACACACCCAGGAAGGGGAAGGGGGAGCUGAUUUUCAGAGCUGCCACGUUGUAUUAUUUGAAAUGUUCAUUUUUCAACAAGAAAAAAUUUACAAGACAUUCCAAGCAAGAGUAAAUAAAUAAAGUACAGCCCAUA